GUGACGUCACCUACGUAUCGUUCGUUCAAACCGUACCAUGAGGUGUUUUGUGACGCUUAGCAAUAUUGUUUUUACGUCAAAUUUAGCAAUCUUAAAUAAGUUGCUCCGGUGCUACUUCAACAACAUUGAUUUGCGGAAUUUAUUGAAAAAUAAGUGUUACUUACACAAUUACACAUUGCAUAAAUUUUAGAUGGCAAGUGAAUACGAAAUCUUUGAAUUUUUGGAGGCUGAUCACGCCGGGCCCUCGAAAAGUCAUAAUAACAUGCAAAUGUGUGAAGAGUGUCCGCCUUUCCGUUUAGACGACACGGAAUUAGUUAGACGAUAUAGGCUAAUACAGAUGAACUUGUACGCAAUUUAUGUGACGAAAUAUAAGGCCAUCAAUGAGAAAUCCACAAAAAUCCACAGACUUAUCUAUCGAGACGAAGGUGUUCAGUGCAUUGCAACCACAUAUAGGCAAUAAUGAAGGACGUUUUGUGUCAGCAAACUGUAUCAUCUGCCAUCCCACAAGUUG